UAUCCGGAUUUGAUCCAGAGGAUCUGACUGUGGAUGUUGGGUAUUGGUUUAAGGGAAGCACCAACCGUAAAGGUUACCUGGCAGAUGAGAAACAACCAAGGUUUAGAAGGCUGGUGGAUGCUUUUUCCAAGCCCCUAACUGAAGUCUACCUCCUCUUCUUUCAAGCAAUCCUGCCAAUGUUCUCCACACUGAACCUCCUCCUCCAGAGAGAAAGGUCUUCCAUCUUCCAGCUCCAUGGAGAGAUGACAAAGUUCAUCAUGAAAAUGUGUGCGAGGUGCAUGAUGCCGUUAGCACUACAGGGCCGACAAGUCCUACAAGGACCCAGUAAACCAACUGCCAGUUUUGAGUUAAAGUGCUGAUUGCCAAGUGAAAUUCCUGUGUGUCUACCUGAUGAAUUUGGCAAGUAAAAAG